UAGCGAAGGGGGCUAGCGUUGCUCGGAAUCACUGGGCGUAAAGCGCACGUAGGCGGGUUGCUAAGUCAGGGGUGAAAUCCUGGAGCUCAACUCCAGAACUGCCUUUGAUACUGGCGGCCUUGAGUCCGGGAGAGGUGAGUGGAACUGCGAGUGUAGAGGUGAAAUUCGUAGAUAUUCGCAAGAACACCAGUGGCGAAGGCGGCUCACUGGCCCGGUACUGACGCUGAGGUGCGAAAGCGUGGGGAGCAAACGGG
rnacentral:rRNA from 1 species